CCCAAAAAUAACCGCCCGAAGGCCGGGGCGCCACGUUCGUCCAGCGGAAAAAGGCCACAAAAACGGGUGGGCUAUAGCCUUGGGGGGUGGGGCUGGCCCACUUCGUCAGCCUGACUCGGAAUACUGCGAGACUUUGCGAGCGGCCUCCGUGUGCCAAAAAUAGGACGGGGACAGAGCCGCGCCCAAAAAUAACCGCCCGAAGGCCUGGGUGCCAAGUUCGUCCAGCGGAAAAAGGCCACAAAAACGGGUGGGCUACAGCCUUGGGGGGUGGGGCUGGCCAACUUCGUCCGCCGGACUCGGAAUGCCGCGAGACUUUGCGAGGGGCCUCCGUGUGCCAAAAAUAGGCCGCGGGCAAAGCCGCGCCCAAAAAUAACCGUCCGAAGGCCGGGGAGCCAAGUUCGUCCAGCGGAAAAAGGCCACAAAAACGGGUGGGCUAUAGGCUUGGGGGGUGGGGCUGGCCAACUUCGUCCGCUGGUCUCGGAAUGCCACGAGACUUUGCGAGGGGCCUCCGUGUGCCAAAAAUAGGCCGCGGGCAAAGCCGCGCCCAAAAAUAACCGCCCGAAGGCCGGGGUGCCAAGUUCGUCCAGCGGAAAAAGGCCACAAAAACGGGUGGGCUAUAGCCUUGGGGGGUGGGGCUGGCCAACUUCGUCCGCCGGACUCGGAAUGCCGCGAGACUUUGCGAGGGGCCUCCGUGUGCCAAAAAUAGGCCGCGGACAAAGCCGCGCCCAAAAAUAACCGUCCGAAGGCCGGGGAGCCAAGUUCGUCCAGCGGAAAAAGGCCACAAAAACGGGUGGGCUAUAGCCUUGGGGGGUGGGGCUGGCCAACUUCGUCCGCCGGACUCGGAAUGCCGCGAGACUUUGCGAGGGGCCUCCGUGUGCCAAAAAUAGGCCGCGGGCAAAGCCGCGCCCAAAAAUAACCGCGCGAAGGCCGGGGCGCCAAGUUCGUCCAGCGGAAAAAGGCGACAAAAACGGGUGGGCUAUAGCCUUGGCGGCUGGGGCUGGCCAACUUCGUCCGCCGGACCCGGAAUGUCGCGAGACUUUGCGAGGGGCUUCCAUGUCCCAAAAAUAGGCCGCGGGCAAAGCCGCGCCCAAAAAUAACUGCCCGAAAGCCGGGGCGCCAAGUUCGUACAGCGGAAAAAGGCCACAAAAACGGGUUGGCUAUAGCCUUGGGGGGUGGGGCUGGCCAACUUCGUCCGCCGGACUCGGAAUGCCGCGAGACUUUGCAAGGGGCCUCUGUGUGCCAAACAUAGGCCACGGACAAAGCCGAGCACACAAAUAACCGCCCGAAGGCCGGGGCGCCAAGUUCGUCCAGCGGAAAAAGGCCACAAAAACGUGUCGGCUAUAGCCUUGGGGGGUGGGCUGGCCAACUUCGUCCGCCGGACUCGGAAUGCCACGAGACUUCGCGAGGGGCCUCCGUGUGCCAAAUAUAGGCCGCGGGCAAAGCCUCGCCCAAAAAUAACCGCCCCAAGACCGGGGCGCCAAGUUCGUCCAGCGGAAAAAGGCCACAAAAACGGGUGGGCUAUAGCCUUGGGGGGUGGGGCUGGCCCACUUCGUCAGCCUGACUCGGAAUGCCGCGAGACUUUGCGAGCGGCCUCCGUGUGCCAAAAAUAGGCCACGGGCAAAGCCUCGCCCAAAAAUAACCGCCCCAAGACCGGGGCGCCAGGUUCGUCCAGCGGAAAAAGGCCACAAAAACGGGUGGGCUAUAGCCUUGGGGGGUGGGCUGGCCCAAUUCCUUCGCCGGAAUCGGAAUGGCCCGAGACUUCUCCAGGGGCCUCCGUGUGCCAAAUAUAGGCCGCGGGCAAAGCCUCGCCCAAAAAUAACCGCCCCAAGACCGGGGCGCCAAGUUCGUCCAGCGGAAAAAGGCCACAAAAACGGGUGGGCUAUAGCCUUCGGGGGUGGGGCUGGCCAACUUCGUCCGCCGGACUCGGAAUGCCGCGAGACUUUGUGAGGGGCCUCCGUGUGCCAAAAAUAGGCCGCGGACAAAGCCGCGCCCAAAAAUAACCGUCCGAAGGCCGGGGAGCCAAGUUCGUCCAGCGGAAAAAGGCCACAAAAACGGGUUGGCUAUAGCCUUGGGGGAUGGGGCUGGCCAACUUCGUCCGCCGGACUCGGAAUGCCGCGAGACUUUGCAAGGGGCCUCUGUGUGCCAAACAUAGGCCACGGACAAAGCCGAGCACACAAAUAACCGCCCGAAGGACGGGGCGCCAAGUUCGUCCAGCGGAAAAAGGCCACAAAAACGUGUCGGCUAUAGCCUUGGGGGGUGGGCUGGCCAACUUCGUCCGCCGGACUCGGAAUGCCACGAGACUUCGCGAGGGGCCUCCGUGUGCCAAAUAUAGGCCGCGGGCAAAGCCUCGCCAAAAAAUAACCACCCGAAGGCCGGGGAGCCAAGUUCGUCCAGCGGAAAAAGGCCACAAAAACGGGUGGGCUAUAGCCUUGGGGGGUGGUGCUGGCCGACUUCGUCCGCCGGACUCGGAAUUCCGCGACAAUUUGCGAGGGGCCUCCAUGUGCCAAAAAUAGGCCACGGGCAAAGCCGCGCCCAAAAAUAACCGCCCGAAGGCCAGGGCGCCAAGUUCGUCCAGCGGAAAAAGGCCACAAAAACGGGUGCGCUAUAGCCUUGGGGGUUGGGGCUGGCCAACUUCGUCCGCCGGACUCGGAAUGCCGCGAGACAUUGCGAGGGGCCUCCGUGUGCCAAAAAUAGGCCGCGGGCAAAGCCGCGCCCAAAAAAAACUGCCCGAAGGCCGGGGCGCCAAGUUCGUCCAGCGGAAAAAGGCCACAAAAAUAGGUGGGCUAUAGCCUUGGGGGGUGGGGCUGGCCAACUUCGUCCGCCGGACUCGGAAUGCCGCGAGACUUUGCGAGGAGCCUCCGUGUGCCAAAAAUAGGCCAUGGGCACAGCCGCGUCCAAAAAUAACCACCCGAAGGCCAGGGCGCCAAGUUCAUCCAGCGGAAAAAGGCCACAAAAACGGGUUGGCUAUAGCCUUGGGGGGUGGGGCUGGCCAACUUCGUCCGCCGGACUCGGAAUGCCGCGAGACUUUGCAAGGGGCCUCUGUGUGCCAAACAUAGGCCACGGACAAAGCCGAGCACACAAAUAACCGCCCGAAGGCCGGGGCGCCAAGUUUGUCCAGCGGAAAAAGGCCACAAAAACGUGUCGGCUAUAGCCUUGGGGGGUGGGCUGGCCAACUUCGUCCGCCGGACUCGGAAUGCCACGAGACUUCGCGAGGGGCCUCCGUGUGCCAAAUAUAGGCCGCGGUCAAAGCCUCGCCCAAAAAUAACCGCCCGAAGGCCGGGGCGCCAAGUUCGUCCAGCGGAAAAAGGCCACAAAAACGGGUGGGCUAUAGCCUUGGGGGGUGGUGCUGGCCGACUUCGUCCGCCGGACUCGGAAUUCUGCGACAAUUUGCGAGGGGCCUCCAUGUGCCAAAAAUAGGCCACGGGCAAAGCCGCGCCCAAAAAUAACCGCCCGAAGGCCGGGGCGCCAAGUUCGUCCAGCGGAAAAAGGCCACAAAAACGGGUGCGCUAUAGCCUUGGGGGGUGGGGCAGGCCAACUUCGUCCGCCGGACUCGGAAUGCCGCGAGACGUUGCGAGGGGCCUCCGUGUGCCAAAAAUAGGCCGCGGGCAAAGCCGCGCCCAAAAAAAACUGCCCGAAGGCCGGGGCGCCAAGUUCGUCCAGCGGAAAAAGGCCACAAAAAUGGGUGGGCUAUAGCCUUGGGCGGUGGGGCUGGUCCACUUCGUCCGCCAUUCUUGGAAUGCCGUGAGACUUUGCGAGGGGUCUCCAUGUGCCAAAUAUCGGCCGCGGGCAAAGCCGCGCCCAAAAAUAACCGCCCCAAGACCGGGGCGCCAAGUUCGUCCAGCCGAAAAAGGCCACAAAAAUGGGUGGGCUAUAACCUUGGGGGGUGGAGCUGGCCCACUUCGUCAGCCUGACUCGGAAUGCCGCGAGACUUUGUGAGCGGCCUCCGUGUGCCAAAAAUAGGCCGUGGGCACAGCCGCGUCCAAAAAUAACCAGCCGAAGGCCAGGGCGCCAAGUUCAUCCAGCGGAAAAAGGCCACAAAAACGGGUGGGCUAUAGCCUUGGGGGGUGGGGCUGGCCAACUUCGUCCGCCAAACUCGGAAUGCCGCGAGACUUUGCAAGGGGCCUCUGUGUGCCAAACAUAGGCCACGGACAAAGCCGAGCACACAAAUAACCGCCCGAAGGCCGGGGCGCCAAGUUCGUCCAGCCGAAAAAGGCCACAAAAAUGGGUGGGCUAUAGCCUUGGGGGGUGGGGCUGGCCCACUUCGUCAGCCUGACUCGGAAUGCCGCGAGACUUUGCAAGGGGCCUCUGUGUGCCAAACAUAGGCCACGGACAAAGCCGAGCACACAAAUAACCGCCCGAAGGCCGGGGCGCCAAGUUCGUCCAGCCGAAAAAGGCCACAAAAAUGGGUGGGCUAUAACCUUGGGGGGUGGAGCUGGCCAACUUCAUCCGCCGGACUCGGAAUGCCGCGACAAUUUGCGAGGGGCCUCCAUGUGCCAAAAAUAGGCAGCGGGCAAAGCCGCGCCCAAAAAUAACCACCCGAAGGCCGGGGCGCCAAGUUCGUCCAGCGGAAAAAGGCCACAAAAACGGGUGCGCUAUAGCCUUGGGGGGUGGGGCUGGCCAACUUCGUCCGCCGGACUCGGAAUGCCGCGAGACAUUGCGAGGGGCCUCCGUGUGCCAAAAAUAGGCCGCGGGCAAAGCCGNNNNNNNNNNNNNNNNNNNNNNNNNNNNNNNNNNNNNNNNNNNNNNNNNNNNNNNNNNNNNNNNNNNNNNNNNNNNNNNNNNNNNNNNNNNNNNNNNNNNNNNNNNNNNNNNNNNNNNNNNNNNNNNNNNNNNNNNNNNNNNNNNNNNNNNNNNNNNNNNNAUAGGCCACGGGCAAAGCCACGCCCAAACAUAACCGCCCGAAGGCCGUGGCGCCAAGUUUGUCCAGCGGAAAAAUCCCACAAAUACGGGUGGGCUAUAGCCUUGGGCGGUGGGGCUGGCCAACUUCGUCCACCGGACUCGGAAUGGCGCGAGACUUUGCGAGGAACCUCCGUGUACCAAAAAUAGGCCGCCGGCAAAGCCGCGCCCAAAAAUAACCGCCCGAAGGCCGGGGCGCCAAGUUCGUCCAGCGGAAAAAGGCCACAAAAACGGGUGGGCUAUAGCCUUGGGGGGUGGGGCUGGCCCACUUCGUCCGCCGGACUCGGAAUGGCGCGAGUCUUUGCGAGGGGCCUCCGUGUGCCAAAAAUAGGCCGCGGGCAUAGCCGCGCCCAAAAAUAACCGCCCGAAGGCCGGGGCGCCAAGUUCGUCCAGCGGAGAAAGGCUACAAAAAUAGGUGGGCUAUAGCCUUGGGGGGUGGGGCUGGCCAACUUCGUCCGCCGGACUCGGAAUGGUGCCAGAGUUUGUGAGGUGCCUCCGUGUACCAAAAAUAGGCCGCGGG
rnacentral:lncRNA from 1 species